rnacentral:lncRNA from 1 species
UGAAAUCCUCAUCAAGUGGGUGAGAGAGGAAGCACCACUGGCUGCUCGCAGGGCGGCUUUCCUCUGGAAAGUGACACGGGUAAAUUAAGGGCGUGAUUGAUGGCUCCAUGCAGCGCUCUGUGACAAAGGAGGAGUGACUGGCCCUGGGCUAGACCAAGGACACUGCUGUGGGCCCUCUUUCCAGUCAAGCCUGAGGAGGUGAGCUCACCAGUCCAGCCUC